GACGAACGCUGGCGGCGUGCCUAACACAUGCAAGUCGAACGGGGUGAAGCCCUUCGGGACUUCACUUAGUGGCGAACGGGUGAGUAACGCGUGAGAAACCUGCCUUUCAGUGGGGGACAACAGUUGGAAACGACUGCUAAUACCGCAUAACAUAACGGGAUCGCAUGUUUCUGUUAUCAAAGAUUUAUUGCUCAAGGAUGGGCUCGCGGCCGAUUAGGUAGUUGGUGAGGUAACGGCUCACCAAGCCGACGAUCGGUAGCCGGACUGAGAGGUUGAACGGCCACAUUGGGACUGAGACACGGCCCAGACUCCUACGGGAGGCAGCAGUGGGGAAUAUUGCACAAUGGGGGAAACCCUGAUGCAGCGACGCCGCGUGAAGGAUGAAGGUCUUCGGAUCGUAAACUUUUGUCUUCAGGGACGAUAAUGACGGUACCUGAGGAGGAAGCCACGGCUAACUACGUG
rnacentral:rRNA from 1 species